AUGGAGGAGGCCUGCGAGAUCGCGCGCCUGCCGGAGGAGCUCGUCUCGGCGGCGCUGGCCCGCACGUCCCCGCGCGACGCCUGCCGGGCCGCCGCGGUGUCCCCGGCCUUCCGCGCCGCGGCCGACUCCGACGCCGUCUGGGCCCGCUUCCUGCCCCCCGGCGGCCUCCCGCCGCUCGCCGACGGGGAGCUGGCCGCCCCCGCCCCGCCCUCCUCCAAGAAGGAGCUCUUCCUCCGCCUCUCCGCCGGCCCCGCCCUCCUUCAGGACAGGCUAGUGAGCGUGUGGCUGGACAGGGAGACCGGCGCCAAGUGCUACAUGCUGUCCGCCAGGAACCUCUUCAUCGUGUGGGGCGACACUCCGCAGUACUGGACCUGGAUCCCACUCGAGGACUCCAGGUUCUCCGAAGGUGCUCAACUCAUGCAUGUUUGCUGGUUCGAGAUCCGCGGGAAGAUACAUAGCAAUAUGCUCUCCCAGGACACAACGUAUGCCGCCUACAUGGUCUUCAAGACGACCGAUAAUUUCUACGGGCUGGAUUCUCCGGUCCAGGAGGCAUCGAUCAGCGCCGGAGCGACCAACUCAACCCGCAAGGUUUGCCUCCAAGGUAACGAUGACGACGACGGCGAGGGCGGGGUGCCCGAGAACUACCAGCGGAUGGUUCCAUUUCCGCGGCUAAGGCUCAGGAGGAGGAACCGCCGCGUAGUAUCCCACGAAGAGAACGUCGCGCUCCCUCAGCAGAGGGCCGACGGGUGGAUGGAGCUGGAGCUGGGCGAGUUCCUCAACGAGGGGGGCGACGACGGCGAGGUGUCCAUCAGCCUGGUGGAGACGAAAGGCGGGAACUGGAAGAGCGGCCUCAUCGUGCAGGGCAUCGAGAUCAGACGUAAGAAAUCAGGCUGA
rnacentral:rRNA from 1 species